CCAUAAUCUAGAAGAACAAGAAGAAGAAGGUGUGUUGAUUUCUCCUAACACAUUUAAGGGACCUUUUCUUGUUGUGAUCAAAACCAUCCUCUACUAAGAUUCGAGGUCGAUUCGAGUCGAUAUACUACUGG